ACAAAGAGAUAUAAAAUACAAAG
rnacentral:snRNA from 1 species